GACGAACGCUGGCGGCGUGCUUAACACAUGCAAGUCGAACGGAAAGGCCCUGCUUUUGUGGGGUGCUCGAGUGGCGAACGGGUGAGUAACACGUGAGUAACCUGCCCUUGACUUUGGGAUAACUUCAGGAAACUGGGGCUAAUACCGGAUAGGAGCUCCUGCUGCAUGGUGGGGGUUGGAAAGUUUCGGCGGUGGGGGAUGGACUCGCGGCUUAUCAGCUUGUUGGUGGGGUAGUGGCUUACCAAGGCUUUGACGGGUAGCCGGCCUGAGAGGGUGACCGGCCACAUUGGGACUGAGAUACGGCCCAGACUCCUACGGGAGGCAGCAGUGGGGAAUAUUGCACAAUGGGCGGAAGCCGGAUGCAGCAACGCCGCGUGCGGGAUGACGGCCUUCGGGUUGUAAACCGCUUUCGCCUGUGACGAAGCGUGAGUGACGGUAAUGGGUAAAGAAGCACCGGCUAACUACGUG
rnacentral:rRNA from 1 species